UACGUAGGAUGCGAGCGUUGUCCGGAAUCAUUGGGCGUAAAGCGCACGUAGGCGGUUCGUUAUGUCGGAUGUGAAAGCCCUUGGCUUAACCGAGGAAGUGCAUCCGAAACUGGCGAGCUAGAGUACUAAAGAGGAUCGCGGAAUUCCCGGUGUAGAGGUGAAAUUCGUAGAUAUCGGGAGGAACACCGGUGGCGAAGGCGGCGAUCUGGGUAGAUACUGACGCUGAGGUGCGAAAGCGUGGGGAGCAAACAGG
rnacentral:rRNA from 1 species